AUCCAAUCAACUCAUCGCUCAUCUGGAUGGGGUCCUCUCCCACUUUCUUCACUAUUGUGUGUGUCCCUCUCUCAUUCUGCACCUUUCCUCCCCUUUUCUGUUUUUCUCCUCUUUAUGUCUGUUCUGCCCGAUGCUCUGCAACUUACUUCACCUCUCGUAGCUCUUUCUCCCCAAUCUUUCUGAUUGUCCCCAAUCUCCACGUAUUUCCGCCUCUUUUUCCCCAUCUGAGCUCCCUCUCUGCUCUCCUUGUUAAAAUUCCCUCUUACCUGUUACACCUCCUUUGUUCCCACUCUCUAGCACCCCCAACUCCCUAGGCUUCCUCCCUGCUGUGGUUCUCCCUCUACUCUGCUUGUCACCCACUGCCCUCUCUCCCUCUCUUUCAGUCCCAGCACCACGUAGCUCUGUCGGCUGCGGCUCCAACUCUUUCACCUUCUCCCCACUGUCUGUCUGCAGUGCCUCCUCCUUUGCCGCCCCACUCUAUUUUGCUGCCUUUCAUCUCUCUGAAGGUCCCCCUUUUUUUCUAAAUUUCUCUGUGUGCUUUCCUCCCCCUGCUUCUUUCUCCAUUCGUUCUCUUUCACUCUUGCUGUCUCUUUGCAAAUCCCUAAAUUAUCAUCCAUUUUGCCGUGUAUUUAUGGGUCUCCCUCAUUCUCUUCUAUUCGGUCUUUCCUUUUGCUCCGUCGCUCCCCUUCUUUUCCUCUCCUGAUCCCUCUCACCCACACAUUCAGUAAGAAAGGGGAGGAAUAGGAUGCCCACCUCCCGGAAAAGCAUAUUUUCCAGUGGAGUAAAAUUUGGGAAGGAAGAACACUGGGUGUCACAAGACUCAGGUGACCUCCCCCAAGGGGGGGAUCGAGAAAAGCAGUGGCUGUGAAGGGGAAGCCUGGGGAGCGAAAGGACCCGGCGUGAGGAGGACACAAGGUGGCAGGGGGUACGGUGUCUCAGGACAGGGAGGGUCUGCAGAAUCCCAGGACCUGGGAGGAGAAGCGACUCCUUCAGGAGCCGGACGGCGGGCGCUCCCCUCCAGGGGCUGACGACGGAGAAGCUCCGGGGUCGCAACGGGCGGGAAUCCACCUCCCGAGUGAGGACUCGACUUGGCGCAGGGCCGAAGCAGAGAUGGCAGAAAAACAAGAGGAGCUCCAGCCCACACAGGAGGUAGAAAGUAGAAUCUAUGCCACGUGGAGUCCAGUUUGAGUUCAGCCAUAGGCACUGAGUGUCCUCCCACAAAGAAAUGGCUCUCUAUUAUUUGAAGGGCACUCUUGUUGGCACUGCUGCCUGGAGCUACUGGACACUGAGAGCGUGCAUCUCAGACCAGAGUUCUAGGCCUGCAUCACAGAGCGACGGAACAGCACAAAGGUUCUUUAGUGCGGAGAAGAGAUAAAAAGGAGAAGGUGAGCCCUGACCCUCCUCCCACCAUCCAGUCUAGCCAACCCCAGCAAAUGUCUGAAACCAACCCAAUCCCUUCACUGUUCUUUUUCCUUUUUCUUUUGAGACAGGGGUUUACUCUGUUGCCCAGGCUAGAAUGCUGUGGCACGCCCAGGCUAGAGUGCUGUGGCACGAUCACGGCUCACUGCAGCCUCAACACCUCCAGGCUCAAGUGAUCCUCCCACCUUAGCCUGCCAAGUAGCUGGGACUCUGGGACUACAGGUGCACAACACCACGCCCAGCUAAUUUUUGAUUUUUUAUAGAGACGGUCUUACUAUGUUUCCCAGGCUGGUUUCAAACUCCAGGGCUCAAGCUAUCUAGCCACCUCAGCCUCGAAAAGUGCUGGGAUUUAUAGGUGUGAACCACCAUGCCCAGCCCACUGUUCUUUUUUUAAACUCUAAAAAAUAUUAUAUCUUUUAGCUUUUUCUCUUUCCUUUCUUUUUUAGACAGGGUCUUGCUCUGUCACCCAGGCUGGAGUGCAGUGGUAUGAUCACCACAGCAUUGACAUCCCGGCCUCAGGCGAUCCUCCCACUUCAGCCUCCCAGUAGUUGGGACUACAGGCAUGCGCCGCCACACCUGUUGGGAGCCGAAAAGGCCAAAGGGAUCAUGACCAACUCAGCGUUCCGCUGGAGACUAUAUUAUCAAACUGCAAACUGUUUAUCAUGAAUGCAGGAUGUGGGCACACUCACACUGCCCUGCCACCAAAAGGUUUGCUGAGGGCCUCACUCCCUGGCACCGGGCUCCUUGAAGUUAUCUAUUGAGAAAUCUAGCACCUAUUGUUCGAAGAAUGCAGUCUUGCAAGCCUGCUGUCAAUCAAACUGCUGACCGACAACCCCCCACCGCUCUUGCUAUCUCUUUUGCCUAAUAAAUACGGAGGGCUGUGUAGGAGGACUGUGUAAAGCUCAGGGUCCUUGUCCACUAGAGGCAAGUGCCCCCUGACCCCUUCUUCCAAAUAUACUCUCUUGUCUUUGUCUUUUAUUCCCUCGUUCACCCUCCUUUGUUCAGUCCCCCUAGGUCCGUGCCGGCUACACACACCUAGUUAAUUUUUUUUUUUUCCUGUGGAGAUGAGGUUCCACUAUGUUGCCUAGGCUGGUCUCAAACACCUGGGUUCAAGGGAUCCUUCCGCCUCUGUUUCCUAAACUGCUGGGAUUAUAGGCGUGAGCCACUUGCAUGUGGUCCCUUCACUCUUCUCUAAGCCUCCAUCUAUUCCAUUUCCAUCCCCUCAUCAUAUCAAACAUACCCUUUGGGCCGGGCACGGUGGCUCACACCUGUAAUCCCAGUACUUUGGGAGGCUGAAGAUGGGCAGAUCACUUGAGGUCAGGAGUUCGAGACCAUCCUGGGCAACAUGGUGAAACCCCAUCUCUACUAAAAAUACAAAAAUUAGCUGGGUGUGGUGGUGCACACCUGUAGUCCCAGCUACUCAGGAGACUGAGGCAGGAGAAUCACUUGAACCUGGGAGACAGAGGUUGCAGUGAGCUGAGAUUGCCCCACUGCACUCCACUUGGGCAACAGAGCAAGACUCUGUCUUAAAUAAAUAAAUAAAUAAAUAUAAAAAACAUAUACCUUGGUAAAACUUUAUUUAUUCCACAUGUAACUGAGAUCUCAUAUGAGUCUAGCAUCACUCUUAGAGAGCUAGACUUUAACCUCAUUAAUCUAUCAUCCUGAAAGUCCAUCGUUUUCCCACAAAUGUUUGCUAAUUCCCAGGGAUUUAUACUCUCAGGAUCUACUAUGUCCUCUAUUCAAGCUUUCUUGUAAAACUUGUCUUUGCUUUAAAUUAACACAGCUUUUCUUUCUAGUAGCCCCCAAAAAACCACAUUCACAGAAAAGCCUCACUUAGCCAUUUGGCCUUUUUUUAUUCAUUUUUAUUUUGAGACAGAGUCUCACUCUGUCACCCAGGCUGUGGUGCAGGGGUGGAUCAUAGCUCACUAUAGCCUCAAACUCCUGGGCUCAAGGGAUCCUCCUACCUUAGCCUUCUGAGUAGGUAGGAUUACAGAUGUAUGCCACCAGGCCCAGUGUCAGGCCUCUGAGCCCAAGCCUGCAUGUAUACAUCCAGAUGGCCUGAAGCAACUGAAGAAUCACAAAAGAAGUAAAAAUGGCUAGCUCCUGCCUUAACUGAUGACAUUACCUUGCGAAACUCCUUCUCCUGGCUCAGAAGCUCCCCGACUGAGCGUCUUGUGACCCCCGCCCCUGCCCACAAGAGAACAACCCCCUUUGACUGUAAUUUUCCACUACCUACCCAAAUCCUAUAAGACUGCCCCACCCCAUCUCCCUUCUCUGACUCUCUUUUCGGACUCAGCCCACCUGUACCCAUGUGAUUAAACAUCUUUACUUAUUAUUAUUUUUUUUUCCCCGAGAUGGAGUCUUGCUCUGUCACCUAGGCUGGAGAGCAGUGGCGUGAUCUCGGCUCACUGCAACCUCCGCCUCCCGGGUUCAAGCCAUUCUCCUGCUUCAGCCUCCCGAGUAGCUGGGAUUACAGGUACCCGCCAUCACGUCCGGCUAAUUUUUUGUAUUUUGUAUUUAGGGGUUUCACCAUGUUAGCCAGGAUGGUCUCGAUCUUCUGACCUUGUGAUCCACCCGCUUUGGCCUCCCAAAGUGCUGGGAUUACAGGCGUGAGCCACUACGCCCAGCAAAAAGCUUUAUUGCUCACACAAAGCCUGUUGGUGGUCUCUUCACACGGACGCCCUUGACACCCAGCUAGUUUUUUUGUUUUUUGUUUUGUUUUGUUUUUGGAGACAGGGUCUCGCUCUGUCACCCAGGCUGGAUUACAAUGGUGGGAUCAUAGCUCAACCUCCUGGGCUCAAGUGACACUCCUGUCUCAGCCUCCUGAGUAGCUGGGAACACAGGCACACACCACCAUGCCUGGCUAAUUUUUGAAUUUUUUUGUGGAGACGAAGUCUCACCAUGUUGCCCAGGCUGUUCUCAAACCCCAGGGUCAAGUGAUCCUCCUGCCUUGGCCUCUCAAAAUGUUGGGAUUACAGGCAUGAGCCACCAUAUUGGGCCUUUUUUUUAAGAGAGAGAUGGGGUCUUACUAUGUUGUCCAGGUUGGCCUCAAACUUCUGGCCACAAGUGAUCCUCCUGCCUUGGACUCUCAAACAGUUGGGAUUACAGGUGUGAGCCACCGUGCCCAACCCUGGCCUUUAUUAAAGACACUGCAUGGCUGACACACAAGGAAAGAGAUGCCAUCCAGCUCCAUGGGAAACAGUUUCGUAACCUUAUUGUAAUUAUUUUUCUUCCAGUCCCUUCUGGGCUGCUCUUGCAUUGGGGGCUUGAAGCUCUUCCCUUCUACCUGUGCAGCCCCUUACCCUGCUGUCCUGCUCUUCUCUGUCCUGGUUCCUCUCUCCCUCAACAUUUUAUGUUCUCCAUCUAUAUAGGUCAAUUUUCUCCCAAAUCUAUUCUCCAAUUUGUACACUUAAACUCAUUUUGAUUUGGAGAAUGUGAGUCUUCCCUUUAACAUAAUUGUGUCCCUUAUGAGAGCAGUUAGUUUUAAAUGGCAACAUUAUUUUGUUGCUUUAAGUUUUUUUUUUUUUUUUCCUAGGAAUCUUAGCUCUGCAGGGUUCUUUGAGCUUUUAAAAACUACUUUAUGGCCGGGCACGGUGGCUCAUGCCUGUAAUCCCAGCACUUCGGGAGGCCGAGG
rnacentral:lncRNA from 1 species